CAGCAGUAGGGAAUCUUCGGCAAUGGACGAAAGUCUGACCGAGCAACGCCGCGUGAGUGAAGAAGGUUUUCGGAUCGUAAAACUCUGUUGUAGGGGAAGAAUGGCUACUAGACGAAUAGGCUAGUAGAUUGACGGUACCCUAUUAGAAAGCCMCGGCUAACUACGUGCCAGCAGCCGCGGUAAUACGUAGGUGGCAAGCGUUGUCCGGAAUUAUUGGGCGUAAAGCGCGCGCAGGCGGUCCUAUAAGUCUGAUGUGAAAGCCCCCGGCUCAACCGGGGAGGGUCAUUGGAAACUGUAAGACUUGAGUACUGGAGAGAAGAGUGGAAUUCCACGUGUAGCGGUGAAAUGCGUAGAGAUGUGGAGGAACACCAGUGGCGAAGGCGACUCUUGGCCAGAAACUGACGCUGAGGCGCGAAAGCGUGGGGAGCAAACAGGAUUAGAUACCCGG
rnacentral:rRNA from 1 species